AUUGAACGCUGGCGGCAGGCCUAACACAUGCAAGUCGAGCGCGCGUCGCACGCUUGAGUAUUGUCUGGGAAACUGCCUGAUGGAGGGGGUUAACUACUGGAAACGGUAGCUAAUACCCCAUACCAUCUCAUGUACCCACAUGGGAUUAGCUGGUAGGUGGGGUAACGGCUCACCUAGGCGACGAUCCCUAGCUGGUCUGAGAGGAUGACCAGCCACACUGGAACUGAGACACGGUCCAGACUCCUACGGGAGGCAGCAGUGGGGAAUAUUGCACAAUGGGCGCAAGCCUGAUGCAGCCAUGCCGCGUGUGUGAAGAAGGCCUUCGGGUUGUAAAGCACUUUCAGCGGGGAGGCGGUACCCGCAGAAGAAGCACCGGCUAACUCCGUGCCAGCAGCCGCGGUAAUAC
rnacentral:rRNA from 1 species